GUGAGUUGCUACUUUUUAUUAUAUUCUGGCUUUUCUUUGUUAAAUUCUGUUAAGGAAAAUAGCAUAUGCUUGCUAGGAUACAUUGUAAAAAAUCUGGCAGUAAAAUUAAGGAUGGUUGUGUCAUUUUAUUUGAUUCUUUUGGAUUAACUUGAUUUGCGAAUUUGAAGCAUUUUGGGUUGAAGUAAGUGAAAGGUUAGUUCUUUGGUUUUCAAAAUAUUUUAGAAUUAAUACAAGUGGUAUAUGCUGAAUUUUGCGCAUAUCAAAUGUAGAAAUGUAGGAAUGCAUUUUAACUUUGUUAGUCUAUUCAAGUUCUAAGCAAUUCUUCAUAGUUGAGGUUCACACUACGAGUCAUCAUUUUAACACGUGAUGCAUUCACUAGUAAGGAUUUUCCUAUACCUUUUACAAAUAAUGUUGCUUCUUGAUACUUGGGGCCUUGCAAAAAAAUCCUAUUUAUGCUUAAGAAGGGCCUUGUUGAUUGCAGAUUUCUAUUUCCGGCUCUUGGAG
rnacentral:misc_RNA from 1 species